rnacentral:rRNA from 1 species
ACGAACGCUGGCGGCAGGCCUAACACAUGCAAGUCGAACGAGAAGCCACCUUCGGGUGGUGGACAGUGGCAGACGGGUGAGUAACGCGUGGGAACGUGCCUUUCGGUUCGGGACAACCCAGGGAAACUUGGGCUAAUACCGGAUACGCCCUUCGGGGGAAAGAUUCAUUGCCGAAAGAUCGGCCCGCGUCGGAUUAGCUAGUUGGUGGGGUAAAAGCCUACCAAGGCGACGAUCCGUAGCUGGUCUGAGAGGAUGACCAGCCACACUGGGACUGAGACACGGCCCAGACUCCUACGGGAGGCAGCAGUGGGGAAUAUUGGACAAUGGGCGAAAGCCUGAUCCAGCCAUGCCGCGUGGGUGAAGAAGGCCCUAGGGUUGUAAACCCCUUUCAGCGGGGAAGAUAAUGACGGUACCCGCAGAAGAAGUCCCGGCUAACUCCGUGCCAGCAGCCGCGGUAAUU